rnacentral:siRNA from 1 species
UGCGAUCGAAUAGGGACUAACGAG